GUCUAGAUAAAGAGGAAAAUGUUGACAUCUAAUGUUUAGGAUACAGGGCCCUGCGCAAGGCAGGUUUACCCCCAUAGAAUUACUAAGAAGAGGAAAGGGAAGGAUGCUUUCUCCGGGAUCCAUGCAGUCCACGAACAGUUCUUUCUUGGAGUGAUUGUAAUGUUUGAAUUGAAUGGUUUGGCAUUUUGACUUUUGCAAUAAACAUUGUCCAACCUUUUUUUAAGAAAUUGACUGUAAUUAACAUUACAUUAAUAAAUUUUAUUUUU